CUAAAUGUGAAGACGGAAAAAGUAAUUAAGUCCAUCACAAAGAGAGACAGUGGUUGGUGUGAACUGUUUGAGAAGCUUAAUGAAGUACAUUCCUGAACUGCAGGCUGAAAUUUUUAGUAGGCUGAGCCGAGUAACUCACGUUAAGAGUAAGAGAAGAUCAAUUUUGUAUGUAAAAGUAGGGUGGUACCACGUAUAAUUCGUCCCUUGG
rnacentral:ncRNA from 1 species